GGGGAAUUUUGGACAAUGGGCGCAAGCCUGAUCCAGCCAUGCCGCGUGUCUGAAGAAGGCCUUCGGGUUGUAAAGGACCUUUGUCAGGGAAGAAAAGGCUGUUGCCAAUAUCGACAGCUGAUGACGGUACCUGAAGAAUAAGCACCGGCUAACUACGUGCCAGCAGCCGCGGUAAUACGUAGGGUGCGAGCGUUAAUCGGAAUUACUGGGCGUAAAGCGAGCGCAGACGGUUACUUAAGCAGGAUGUGAAAUCCCCGGGCUCAACCUGGGAACUGCGUUCUGAACUGGGUAACUAGAGUGUGUCAGAGGGAGGUAGAAUUCCACGUGUAGCAGUGAAAUGCGUAGAGAUGUGGAGGAAUACCGAUGGCGAAGGCAGCCUCCUGGGAUAACACUGACGUUCAUGCUCGAAAGCGUGGGUAGCAAACAGGAUUAGAUACCCUGGUAGUCCACGCCCUAAACGAUGUCAAUUAGCUGUUGGGCAACUUGAUUGCUUAGUAGCGUAGCUAACGCGUGAAAUUGACCGCCUGGGGAGUACGGUUGCAAGAUUA
rnacentral:rRNA from 1 species